rnacentral:rRNA from 1 species
AUUGAACGCUGGCGGCAGGCCUAACACAUGCAAGUCGAGCGGAUGAAGGGAGCUUGCUCCUGGAUUCAGCGGCGGACGGGUAAGUAAUGCCUAGGAAUCUGCCUGGUAGUGGGGGAUAACGUCCGGAAACGGGCGCUAAUACCGCAUACGUCCUGAGGGAGAAAGUGGGGGAUCUUCGGACCUCACGCUAUCAGAUGAGCCUAGGUCGGAUUAGCUAGUUGGUGGGGUAAAGGCCUACCAAGGCGACGAUCCGUAACUGGUCUGAGAGGAUGAUCAGUCACACUGGAACUGAGACACGGUCCAGACUCCUACGGGAGGCAGCAGUGGGGAAUAUUGGACAAUGGGCGAAAGCCUGAUCCAGCCAUGCCGCGUGUGCGAAGAAGGUCUUCGGAUUGUAAAGCACUUUAAGUUGGGAGGAAGGGCAGUAAGUUAAUACCUUGCUGUUUUGACGUUACCAACAGAAUAAGCACCGGCUAACUUCGUG